rnacentral:lncRNA from 1 species
UUUAAUAUGAAGUGGUGCCCAUCUCAUGGUAUUUUUUUCUUCUAAAAGAAGGAUAUAUUCAUCGUUUACCGUCUCUCUCUUAAUUUAUCAAUAAAGCUAUUGAAGAUGUACACAAAUGUGCAAAAUUAGGGGUAAGAGUAACAAUUUUGUUUUUCUCCAUAUCAUUUUAUAUAGAAACUAUGUGAUUUGAAGAGUAGGAAGCAGGACACAUAGUCUGUUCUUCUGGAAAUUAUAUUACUGAAUUUGAAGAAAUAGAGAUAUAUAGAUCUGAACAAAUUGUUUCCAAAACUAAGCCUCAAUAGCAUUGAAUCUCAGUAUCUCAUCAUGGAAGGAUCAACUGCAGGUGUGGUGAUAGGUGCAAGGACUACAAUUGAAGAUAACCUUCUCAAAUGCAUGUCCAGCAUUAUGGAGAAGGAAAAUGGCACCCAGUUUCUCAAAGAGCAGGUUUUAUUUUUAUUUUUAUUUAUAAAUGUAAAUCUUCUUUUGAUUGGUUUCAAUUCUGAGUAAAGUAAAUCUAGAUCCAUCUUUUCAAGAACAACUAUUUAUUACUUCAAUUUAAUGUUGAUCUCUACUAGAUAUGAAUUUACUUACAUUUUCCAAAUUAAACACACACAUAAUCUAACUAGGAUAUACUUGAUCGAUUGUGAAUGUUAAUUCCUUGAUAUGAUAUUCUUCCCUUUGGCAAGGUUGAACAGGUGCCGCAAGAGUUGCAGAUUGAUUUGAUGAUCAGAUUGCACAAGCAUUUGGGGAACAGGUGCGCAAAACUAGUACAUACAAACAGAGUGUUAAUAACUCUCUCUCUGUCUGAAAAAGAAAAAGUGACACAGGUGACAGAUUUAAUGUGAAUUAAGUUUAAAAUUUGAGAGAGAAAAUGUAAAAAUUGGAAUGCGGGAGUUGUUAUUGGAAAAACCAUAAUAAAAGAAAAAGAUCCUAAGAAAUUAAAUUGGGGGUUUUGUGACAUUCAAGUAACAUCAGCAUUUUGGCGGUUUUUUACCAUCACAAUUUGUGAAGUUUUUUUAAAAAAUGACUGCGACGGUUUUAAACCGUCACAAAUUGUGCAUUUGAAAAAUACAUGUGCAACUUGUGGCGGUUUGAAACCGUCAAAAUUAUAUCAUUUUAACUUCGUAAAUUGUGACGGUCAAAAAACGCUAGAAUAUUAAUUUUAAAAUAUGUGAUAGUAUAAAACCGCCACAAUAUAUAGUUGUUGCUUGGAUAUAUCACAAUGCCUAUUCUGCGCGACCCAUAUUAAAAUAUGAUAUGGCCUUACUUGAUUUGAUAAAAUAUUUUUUAUUAAUAAUUAAAAAAAUGUCAUUUUUAUUUUAAAUUCUAUUUGUAUUUUUUUAUAAAGAAAAAUGUUAAUUUUGUUAUCUUUUCUUUAUAUAUAAUUUGAAAACCAAAAAUGAAAAAAAUACACAACCAUGCAUUUUUAUAAUUAUUAAUAAAAAAUGUUUUAAGAUCCAUUAAGUAUUCAAUGGGCUAGUGUUUCCUUCAAUUGAUACAUUUUGAUUUUUCUUAAGCAUUGUCUCGAGUUUAAGUUUGUGUUAGUAUAUUAAAAAAAAUCCCACUGAAUGAGCUAUUCCCACUAAGGUGUGAAUGUUUCGAGCUGAAACAUCAUGAUAAAGUGUUUACCAAUAUAGUGACAUGCCAUAAAAAAUCCAUCAAUAACAUUCUAUUAUUGAUGUCUUUUAGCCGUUGCUGACGACUUUUGGUCGUUGGUAACAAUGAGUUUUACUGUAGUUAGAGACAGAUCUUCAUGGUGAGUAGGGGAGUCGUGCCUUUUCCCACAAUUUUUUAAAUAUAGAGGUUGUCUAAAUCACAUAUUAGGAUGAUUUAACUCUACCAUAAAACAUACUUAAGCAAUAUUGUUCAAAUAGCUGAAAGUUUUUUUGGGAACUAGUAUGAAAUUUAAAACAAAGCAAAUAUUAAAAGGAUGUUAACCAAAUAUGAGAAAACUAUUGGGAUUAUGUUUCGCCAAUCAAUUCUUUCGUAUUCGAUGAUUCAAUACACAAAUUUUGUCCUACGCUUGAUUUCAUCAACAUUAGUUCUUAUCUUACUUCAAUAGUUUUCUAAUGAGAAGAUCGACAACUCACUAUCCUAAUAAUUAAUUCCUCGUGUGACUAACAAAUCCUAUGCUAUUCCUAAAACUUGGAUUCAUUGGAUGAUAUAACCUAUGUCGGAUUAAAAAAAUUAGCUUCCACUAACAUAAUAAAUUCAAAAUCAUGUUUUAGGCGAUCAAUCUAAAACAUGCAUAAAGAACAAGAUUAUAUCGUUGAAAUCAUUGCAUAUAAACAUAUAUUUGUAUAUAUAAAUAUAUCAAAUUUGAAGGAUUACUUCCAGUAUCAACGAAGAGAAAUUUAGCAAUCUAUUUCCAUGGAUGCUUACAAGCUCACAAUAAGAAAAUAAGAUGAAGAAGAUAGUCAGUGAUGUCUUCAGAACGUUUACACUUUACAACCCUUUGAAUGAUCCCGAGAUCCAAGUCUUCAAGCUUCUCCUGUAUUUUCUCUAUUUUUGGACCUGAUUACUUUCCAAAGAUGUGAUUUUUGUUUUAGAAUUAUGUUUUGAGGAAACAGGGGAGCAUGUUCUUGCUUAGUGAGACAAUUCUCGCUAAGAGAGAACCUUCCUUCAAGGCAGGGUAACUAUCUCGCUUAGCGAGGGAAAUCUCUCUCAAUAAGGAGAUUUCCUUCAUCAAUUUGUAGAAUUCAUUUUUAUCCAAGCUCUAAGGGAUGAAGGAGAAUACUCUCAUACUUUCAUACAAAGUCUUCCUGACAUCCCGAAUUCGGAGUCCGUUUAUCUCCGUAUGAGCUUUCAAAGAUAUACCGACCGUAGGUAUCUUACUUACCAUCAGAUACCGACAAUCGUCUUCUAACAUUACCGACCCUUAAAUAUCAGUUCACCCGAACAUGAAUAGGCAACGCAUCCGUUUUUCUUGCUCCCCAGCAACAGCCGGUCGGGGCGGGGAUAAGCUUGUGAAGAAGCAAAUCCCCCCCCCCCCCCAAAUCUUUUCCCGGUAAUGAUUUUGAAUUAGAUGGUGAGGAUGUAACUAAUAAACUACGGAAAUGAUUCUUAUCCGUGUUUACCAGGCUUUUACCAUGUCUCCCGAACAAUUUCAGUACAUAUGGCGCAAGAUGCGGGGAACCCUUCCUUGCAUUCUAUUAUAGUAUUCGCUUAAUAUCAUCUAAAUGAAAAUAUAGUAUAAAGAAGAAUAUAUUAAUAAACUCUAUUUGCUAAAUGAACGUCUCUUUUGGCACUCCUACAAUAUUCGUCUCCCUUUUUUAAUUGUUCAACUUCAACUUUUAUGGGAAAGAGAGACGGAGGAUGACGAUUCUUUCACCCUUCCUUCUUCAUAGCUUGUUACUUGUGAAUAUCUUAAUCAUCCCAAUGAACUUUCUUCCUUUUCUUUUGGAGAGGAGCCUUUGUCCCUUCCUCCCAAUCUUAGUUCAUUUUCUAGUUACAUUUGAGAAAUUUUGGAAAGGUUUGAAUGAUAAUACUAUGGGCAAAGGAUCUUCUAAUGAGGUUUCUGAUUUGAGUUUUACAAAUUCGUUUGCAACGAGUCAUCAAAAGUAUGUGCCACUCCUAAUCCUUGUAAGCUUGGGUGUUACCUAUAACUGGGUAGACAAUAAGGUUUUAGGAACUCGCCACAUGUUGGAAUCAUAUUCUAAAGUGGAGUUAAAAGAUUUGGAAAUAACUCAAUAAGGAAAUGCAUCCGAAACGUACCCCUUUAUCCUCCCAAACAAAGGUGCUCGUGUUUGCGCCGAGCAACCUAGUGGGGUUUUCAUGUAUACCUUCCUCUUUUAUGAACUUGGGUUGAAGGUUUCUUUUAGCGAUUUUGAAAUCAACAUCUUAGUCGCACUUUGUAUUCCCCUUCAAAGUUGUACCUAAAUUCUUCGACUCUUGUAAGAGAUUUCUAAGUUUUAUGUAGAUUGUUAAAUAUCCACCCAUAUAUUUGUUGUUUUUCCCCAUUUUAACUCAACCAUUGCAAUGACAAGAAUAAGAAGAAAGAAUAAGAAGAAGGUGGUCGUGGUUUUGAUCCCCACAAAAGCCGCCAAAAUGGUCUUCCUGAAUUUGAGUAGGCUCUUAAUCUUUGGUGGUGGUAGACGGUUUUUGAUGAAUCUUUAAACAUGAUGGAACAAAGUAAGAGGGCGCAAGCACAUGAAAAAGGACUUCGAUGGUAAAGCCAUUAUAUGAGUAAAGAGAGAAAAACUCAAAGUCAUAGAAGAACUAUGAGUUAGGACAAUGAGUAAUGCUUAUGUAAUGAAGCAAUCAAACCAGUAUUUAUAAAGCAUAGCGUGACCUCCUAACAUUGAAGUAUUAAAAAAACUCAAAUUUGUAAAAAAUCUCAAAUACCUGUGAUCAUGGUAAUUGAGGCGCUUUUAAGUGGGAACCAUUUAGUGUUUAAUGAUUGUCCCGAACUUAUUCCACUCGACUGACUGUUGGAUGAGAAAAAUCUCACUUUGGUUAUAUCAUGGCCGACCAACAUGACCUAUACUUGACUGUGAAUCAUCUGGGACGUCCAUGACGAUAUUAGACCUAAUUUGGGCUCACCAGUUACUAGAACACUAUUAUAUAUUUGUACAUUAACAUAUACCCUUUUCAUGAAUUUCUUCUUUUUCUAAAAGAAGAGGAUAUUCAUUUUUGUACUUCUAUGUCUUAGAUUUUUCAUUAAAGCUAUAGAUGUAUGGAUGUGCAAAAUUAGGUAUAAGAGUAACAAUUUUGUUUUUUCCCAUAUCAUUUUAAGAAACUCUGCGCUUUUAAGGGUAGGGAAGCAGGACACGUAGUAUGCGGGCCCUGUCUGUCCUUCUUAAAAUUGGCAUGACUGAUCUGCAUGUCUAUAUAUACUUGUAAUAGUACUUAAUUAGAACAAGUAGAGAUAUAUAGAUCUGAACAAAUUUUAUCCAAAACUAAGCCUCAAUAGCAUUGGAUCUCAGGGAAGGAUCACCUGCAGGUGUAAGGAAAGGCUCAUGGACUAAAGUUGAAGAUGACCUUCUCAAAGCAUGUGUCCAACAUUAUGGGGAGGGGAAAUGGCACCUUGUUCCUCAAAGAGCAGGUUCUGUUUUUUUUUUCUCUUUUUUUUUUCUUUUGGUUUAAAAAAGUCAUUCUUUUGAUUGGUAUAGUCUAACAGCUGGGACAUAUUCUCAACUGUGGAUAUUAAUUGUAAUGACAUGUAUAUAUAUCUUCUCUUCUUCCUUUUGACAGGGUUGAACAGGUGCCGCAAGAGUUGCAGAUUGAGAUGGUUGAACUAUCUAAGACCAAAUAUCAAACGGGGAGAUUUUAGUGAAGAUGAGGUUGAUUUGAUGAUCAGAUUGCAUAAGCUUCUAGGAAACAGGUGUGCAAAAGUAUAUAUAAACCGGGUUUUAAUUUUCUCUCUCUCUCUGACUGAAAGAGAAAAAUUGAAACAAGUGACAGAUAAAGUGAAAUUAAUAUGAAUCAAGUGAGAGAGAAAAUGGAAAAAUUAGGGUGCGGGAGUUGUUAGUCCCACACACACUGUAGGAAUACCUCUCAGUAAAGGACAGUUGGCAUAACAAUAAUAAAAGGAGAAUAAAUAUUGCAUAUUAAUUAGGAUUUUCUGACCACUAAGCUACUGGAUUGUGGCGGUUUUUGACUGCUACAAUUUACAAAGUAAUUAUGGUGGUUAAAAAUUUCACAAAUUACACGUAUGAAAAAUAUAAGAGUAAAUUUGUGGGGGUUUCAAACCGCCAAAAUUAUGUUUUUUUUAAUAAAUUUUGGCAGUCAAAAACUCUCACAUUCUAGAUUUUAUAAUUUUGUAAAUUAUGGCAAUCAAUGAUCACCACAAUCUCUAGUUGUUUCUUAGAUGACGUGGAACAAAAUGACUAUUCCGCAUGACCCAUAAUAAAAUAUGAUAUGACCCUCAUUUUUUUCGGGUACAUUGAAAAAAUAAAUUACAUUAUUUAGGGAUUGAUUCUUGAACCUUCCCCUUCCCAACCGAUAUGUCACCUAACUCUUACCACUUGAACUAUCCUUCGGGGACAUUGAUCCUCAUUUAUUUGAUAAAAUAAAUUUUAUUUUGUAUUUUAUUAAUAAUUGCAACAAUCUCAUUUUUUUAUUUUAAAGUCUGUUUUUAAAAAUUUCCUAAAAAUAUUAAUUUUUUUCAUUAUUUCUUCAUAUAUAUGUAUAUAUUCAAUAACAAAAUGAUUUCUAUAAAUCUGAAGAAAAAGGAGAACAACCCUCUCAUCUAUGAUAGAUUCAUUACUGGUAGUACUCUUGCUUAGCAAGGUUGUCAGCAAAACAAUUCAAUUAUCUAUAGAUAUGAGAUACUUCUAAAGAGUUUACCUCCAUCUACAACACAACGUAUUUGAUUCAACACAUUUAUCAGCUUUCAAGGCCAAAAGUUUCUUUGAUUAAUUACGUACCCAACUCACUACUAAAGUGGAGUCACUUUUCAAUAACCAAACCAUUGAUUAUAUAUGAUAUAUAUAUAUAUAUACAUAUAUAUAUAUUAAACAGAAAAUAAAAUAAAAAGUACAUAGAUAUUCAAUUUUAUAGUAAUUAUUAAAAAAUGUUUAAAGAUCCAUAAAUUAAAGUACUCAAUUGGUUUUCGGUUCAACCGACACAUGCUUAAUUUCUCAUAGUUUCAAAAACUUAUUGAAAGACCUCACCCUAGCUUUCAUGGAGGCAGAGGCGAAACUUAGUUAGGAGUAGGGGGCCAAUGCUCAACCAAUCUUUUUAGAAAUAAUGAAAUAUUGUAUGAAUAUUAUAUUUAUAUUUAUGUGUUUGAUUUUUAAAACUUGUAAAUAUUUAUUUAAGACUAUCUGUAUAAUUUGAAUAUAAUUAUAUAUUAGUCAACUUCCCCACUACUAAUCAUUAGUUCGUUUACCAAUUACCACAUAGUUUUGGUUUAGAUAAUACGUGAACAACUAGAAACAAAUAAUUUAGUUUUAAUUUUAACAUUAUUAUCUACUUACAAUAUUAGUUGAAAAUAAUAUUCACUAAACCAAAACUGUUUGUGUGUAUAUAGAUGGUCCCUGAUUGCAGGAAGACUUCCUGGAAGAACUUCAAACGAUGUGAAGAAUUACUGGAACACCUACAUGCGCAGCAGAGCACAGUGCUCUUACAGCAAGAAAGACAAGAACUUGAAGCCCCACCAAGUGAUAAAGCCUGUGCCUCGAACAUUCUCAAAACCAAAACCAAAACCAUCCUCAGAUCAUCAUAGCAAUUCAGAAGUUAAUGUUAGUAGCCAAUUAGUAGCAGCUUGUGCAGCUUCAUCUUCAGGGUCGACAAAUUGGUGGGAAACUUUGUUAGAUGAUAUGGGAGAUGACAAUACAAUUGCGUUGGAUGAAGAGCUCGUUGCUUCAAUAACAACAAAUGCUUGUGACUUUCUUACAGAAAGUGAUCAAACUUGGAGUGACUUUCUUCUUAACGUGAAAUUGUAGAACACUUAUGAAAAUAGAGAUAUAAUACUUCUUCUAUUUCAAAAUAACUAUUCAGAAAAAAAUGCAUAUUAAAAAAUGCAAUUAAUAUUGAUAACUUUAUAAAAUAUAUUAUAUAAUUUGUUUUGUUAUUUUACCAUUUAAAGUGUGUUUUUAUCUCUUAUUAUUUAUUCUUUUCACAUAGAAGCAUUAUAUGAAAAACAUCGACUAAUGAAACAUUUUUUUCACAUAUAAAUGAACAGUUAUUAUGGAAUAAAGAGAGUAUUUAGAAAAAUAAGAUGUACGAGAGAUUAAUAAACCUAGAAUGCAGAUGUAUUUAAAAUCUUUGUUAGGUGUACAAAGUUAGGAGGAGCCAACUUUAAGUGUAUUAGGAUUAUUAAACUCUGACCGAUUAAUUACUACCUUAGUCGAGGUGUUGGAUUAAUGGGACAGUGCACUACACGAUUUUUUUCCCUUUUGAUAACACAGGUUUAAGCAACAUACAAAAAGUGUUGACUAAAAAUGCAUCACGAUCACUUCGUGACUGCUACCAUUGAGGGGCUCAUUUUAGACACCAAGUUUUUUUACAAUACUAAGUAAGUGUUCUGAAUCAAAUAUUAGGGAGCAAUUAUUACGCAAAAAUUGUUGCUUUUUUCACACAAAAAGUUACAUUUUCUCAGUGUGUUACCAAAGAGUACGAGAAACUGUUUCCAAAAGUAAUAUAUAAUGCUGGAACAUGAGACCAUAAAAAAUUGUUGCGUAAACUUUAAGAAACAUUUUUGUGCUAUGGAUAUACUUUUGAACGGUUGUGAAAAGAAAAAAAUGUUGUAGUGAUAGUUCUAACCGGUGAGUGAUUGGUUGGACCAUAUUUAUAAAUAUAAUAUUAAAAUAGUUUUUUUUGUUUAGGCAUAUAAACAUUUGCAUUAAAGUGCCCAAAAUCAUUCCUGGGAAUGAUGGGUAGCAGGUUUGAUUCAUGCUUGGAGCAUUUUUUGGAUUUUUUUGUGUUUGACCAUCUGGAGUGCGCCUUGAUCGAGAUGGUUUGAGACCGAGUCAACCGAGUUUGACCGGGUGAAGUUGGGUUUGACCAAUUUCACAACAUAUCGCUCCAAUAAGCUAACCAGAGUGGCCAUGGGCUCGAUUUUCGGUUCAACCGAAUGGACCGGCCUGAUUUUCACAACAGUGUGUAUAACUCUAUAUGAGUGUUCAAUUUUUAUUUAAAGGAGAAAAAGGAUUCAAUUUUUAUUUUGAGCGUCGUCGUAGUAUUGAUCCACCAAGAGUUGUCUCUCUAGACAUAACACUUGUGAUUUAGACAACAGAAAAACCGAAGAGGCAAGGAGCCUCGAUCAUGGAACAAACGACAACAAAACCCUAACCUCGCUGAAUUAGAAUUUUGCACUUUUUACCAUUGCAAAAAAAAGAAAAAAGCUUAGGUGGCUUUUUUCUUGGAUAUGUAAAUUGAAAGUUGCAAAAGAAGGUGACAGAGUGACAAGGUUUAGUUUUGCUUGCACGUCCUUGUUCUAUGUGUGAAAGUCUAUGUUAGAAGUCUCACAUUGGCAAGAGAUAGAGCAUAUAUAACCUUUAUAAAUGGAGUGCAAACCUAAACUCUUGAGCUAACUUUUGUGGUUGAGUAUAGGCCUUCCAAUUUCUAAUAGUCUAGGUGAACAAAUGGUCCUGGACAGGGUCUCUGCGCGCUUGUGCCUCGGCUUGGGUUGCAAUUUGCAUAUGAACUGGUCUUAGGUAAUUCUGGAAAGGUUCCAUGUACUGUCUAGGUGGUGGUAGAAUCAUGACCAAAUUUAGUGAUAUUUGAAUGUCUGAGGACCAAAAAUGAAUUAUCCCUAAAUUGUCAUUCAAAAUGUUGGAAAUAUUAGGGAAGAAAAGUUGUGUCGUGGACGAACCACUGCCUUGAAAGCAAAAAUUCUGGCAGACCUCCGGUGCAAUCCAGUGCCAGGUUUGCUCCCCAAGAUUAACACAACUACACGCAAGGUAAUGUGCACUCAGAACCUAAACGUGCUGGAAUCUCUACAACAAUGCUCAGAAAAAACAACAAGAACAAGAAGUGAACCCUCUUAUUUCUUCUUCUCUACCUCACUUCUCUUUCUGUGUCUAUUAUAUAAUGGUCGAAUGUAUUAUUGAAAGAUAAAUGACAUAUAAAGUGAAUCACACCAUUACAAGAUAAAUCCGUUUCUCUCCUUCAUCACUUUAUGGUUCACGUGCAAAGGCAUUCAAGUGUGGUGUUAAUGGACUUUAUCACCAAGUUUUAUUGUACUUUGAUUGCAACUAGGAUAUUAACCCGUGUCCGUGCGAUGCACGGACGCGCAAUUUUACAAUUUAUCAUAUUUAAUUAAUCAUAUGUAAUUAACUUACACACAAACAUUUUAUGGUUAAAAUCACCGCUAACCUCAAAAUGUAGACGGUGCUAUAAACUAAACAUAGGUAAAAGACAUACAAAAUGUGUUCCGCAGAGUAAAAACUAACACGAAAUGUGUUCCGCAGAGGAUCUUAUAGCUCAACAUCCUCGGACAAACAAUUAAUUCCUUUAAGACUUUUUUACAAAAAAUAAUCCUUUCAAGCUUUAUUUUCCAAAACUUAUCAAUUAAUCUCCUGAACCAUAAAUACACGUAGACACAUUACAACUUAUCAAAAAAAAAAACGUAGACACAUUACAUUCGUAAUCAAACGUAGACAUUUUAUCCUUCUCAUUGCUAGUUGUUUCAGAUGAUUUAAAUGAUAAUUAAUCCAAACAACAACUACACCAAAAACUAAAUAUACUAACAUGAAUAGCUUUUUUACAUCUGACAUUAUAUUGUAAUCUGCAACAAUGUCUUUAAAAAAACAAACAACAACAACAACAUAAUAAUUAACCUCCAAAUUUAACUAUAGAUUCUUUGAAAAACCUCCUUAUACACAAUAUUUUUCGUCACAUCUCUUUUUGUAAUAUCCUCAUUGCAUACAAUAAUCUUGAGACCUGCUCUUGUCUUUACACGAGAAACAGCAACGUACAAUUGCCCAUGUGAAAAAACAGGACUUGGCAAAUAAACACCAACAUGUGACAAUGUCUGACCUUGGCUUUUGUUAAUAGUCAUAGCGAACGACAAAAGAAGAGGAAAUUGUCUUCUUUGGAACCUAAUUGGUAUGUUCUGGUCAGUGGGUAUCAAAUUCAUUCUACCAAUAAAGGUUUGCUUUCCAGCAUGAGUGCCAGAAAUAAUAGUCCCUCCAACAACAUUUGGUCGAAGAUGUGUAACAAUCAAUCUAGUGCCAUUGCACAAACCAGCAGAUAUAUCUAGAUUUCGCAUUAGCAUAACAGGAGAACCUUCUUUGAGAACCAACUUAUGGUCGGGAAUACCUGAGCAUUUGAUAUCAUUAAGAAUUUCAGUUGUAAGCCAAUCCGCUUCAAUGGUAACCUCUUCAUCAACACCCCAUAUUGAAUCAGAGCUUAAAUAAGUCCUCUCCUUGGCAUUGAAUAAAGACAACGUGUAUCGAUUAACAAUAUCAACAGCAUCCAAAGUUGGAGCAAGUAUAGCCUUGUCUUGAAAAUACUGCACACAACCAACAUUCUGUUGGAUAUUUGGAUACAUUGAGGAUACAAUGUCACUCACAGGAUUAGAAGACUGGAGAAUCAAUGUUUCAUUUGGCACUCUAAUCACAGAUUCACCAUCAUUAUACUCUCCCAAGUUACCAUCUCCAACAUCUAGCACCCACUUGGCAAAUUCUCUAGUAUCAUCAACAUUUGAAGCAUUUGGAUUAGAAAGCAAACGCAUGUUUUGUGAUAGUGUCACCACCUAAAACAACAACUUUGCCACCAAAUGGUUUAUCACAACUACCAGGAGUAAUGAAUCUCAUGAUAUAUCUCAAUGUCCUAUCUAAUGCCUCAAAAGCAUAUCUACUAACCAUUGGUGCUUCAUCCCAAAUAAUAAGACUGGUUGACUGAAGUAAUUCAGCUUUUGGACUACCUUGAACGAUUCCACAUACUGAAUCCUCAUUAACAUUUAGAGGAAUGCAAAAAAGAGAAUGUGCAGUCCGACCACCUGGAAGUAAGAGAGAAGCUAUGCCACUUGAAGCAACAUUGAGUAUGAUUUUUUUUUCUGAUCUUAACCUAAAAGUUAAAGUUUUCCACAAGAAUGUUUUCCCCGUACCACCAUGUCCAUUGACAAAGAAAAACCCACCAUCACCCUUAUAUACUGCAGAAAUUAAUUCCUCAUACACUUCAACUUGACAACUAUUUAACUUGUGAAAGUAAUCAGCAUGCAAUCGAUUCAUCUCGGCAAUGUCAAAGUUCAACUCAUUGAAUAGUAGAACAUUACCAUAUUGGUUUAGAGUACUUUGCUCAACCUGGGGCAUAUUGGAAAAAUCUUUAAGUGAUUUCCCAUUCAUCAUCAACACUUUCUCUAUCUCCAUUAAGCAUAAAUCUUUCAAUUGUUCAUCCGAAAUUACCAACUCUACACAAUAAUUAAAAUAAUAAUUCAACAAUAGCAAUUAUAUGAUAACGAAUAAAAUCUUACUAAUGUUAACACUAUAAACACAUACCUCUAUUGUUAUGCUUUCUUUGCAAAUCAUAAGCAAUUCCAUCAGCCAAAACAUGCCAAGUCUCAUUCCAUACAUGCAAUGGAUUACACAUGGAAUUUGGCAAAAGGAAUGAAACAAACAAGGCUCUCGUGUAAGCCCCACCAGCCAAUGUAGCCACAUCAAGUAUACCAUCAAUAAAUUCCCGAUCAUCUUUCAACAAUCCCAAAGCCUCACAUGCACCUCUAAAAGUAUCAUGUACAUUAUUGUUCACUGAUCUCAAAUCUUCAUACUUCGUACAUCCCCUUUGUACAUUCAACAACAUUCUCAAGUAGUACAACUCACCUGUGCCAGGCGGGACGAAACUCAUUCGACCAAUAGAUACACCUUGUUUCCUUGGAUGCCAUGACUUGCUCUUUGGAUCAUAAACAAAUAAUUCUGGAAACUCAACAUAUGUCAACUGUCUACCAUGUACAUACUUACAAUUUGCAUCCAUCCACGCUAAGAACAUGCUAUUCUUAACUAUAUUCCUCCUAAGUACAUCCUCAAUUGCUUCAUUUUCCUUAAACAACACAACUUGCUUCCUAGGCAAAUGAUAUGUGAGCUUCUGAACAGGCGGCCAUUUAUGAUGGAUAUCAUAUUGAAAGAUUCUCCACACCGCUUCACACGACGACAAAUACCUGCAAUCAAAGUAUUGCUUGAUCUCAUCAUCUUCCACUGCUUUAUCUUGUGUAGUUCUACCAGAUGACAUAGACAAUGUGACCCUAUCCACUCCCUUGUUUAUAUAUUUGAAGAGGUAUUUUAUAGAGUUUGAUUUGUUGCAAUACUCAAUAUUGAUGUGUGCUUGGUAUUUCAUCAAAAGUUUGGGGUUAUACGGAACAACAAACCCAUUGUCUAAAUCAACCCCCUCCUAUUGGUAGAAACACCAGUAUUCCUCCUUCUAUACACCGGAUACCCAUCACUAUCAAAUGUUGUGACAUCAGCAUAUUUUUUUGGGAAAAAUUUUGCACAUCGCCCAUUUUUCAUGCAAGGAGAUUCUCUUCUGCUUAAUCCACAAGGCCCAUGAACCAUAUAAUUAGAAACACAUUCAAACAAUGAAGGAUAUAGUUUAGGGUCUGGUAACUCAGCACAUACACUACAAAAAACUUGCCAUUUACCAACGGCAGAAAACUGUCGGUAAAGGGUUUAAAACCGUGGGUAUAACCCAAAAAACCUUUACCGACGGACAUUUCAUUUCGUGGUUUUUAAGUCGCUAUACCCACGGAUAUAUUUCUGUCGGUAUAUCUUGUAGUGACGGUUAUGAAUCCGUAAGAAAAAUAUUUUGAUAUAUACCUACGACUUCUGUUCCGUCGGUAUAGGUAUUAGCACUACAAAAAAAAAAGUUUUUUAGUGGCGGUUUCUGACCGCUGCAAUUGCACAAGUUCUUGGAAACUAACAAUCAAUUGUGGUAAUUAACAACCUCAAAUAAAGUUAACAUAUCAAACAUAAAAAUAUCUUAACAUCAGAUAACAUAACACUUAAUACUACUUUAUAAAAGAAAACAAGAUAACAAAGCUUACAUAUAGAGAGUUCUGAUAUAUUUCAUUUACUACAUUAACCAAGAACUAUUCUAGAAAACUUGUGUAGUGGCAAAAUAAUUGCAAAAAUAGUUACAUAGGAGUUCUUAUGUAUCCCUAUCACUCAACCUAUCAAUUCAUCCCACAUUCAGAACAAGAAGUACAAAGUUUGGAAGUGUAUUAAAAUAAUAGAUGAGACAAACUCGUAAGGUGAAAAGCUCAAGUCCAUAACAGCUAAAUAUCCAGAUCUGCGACUUCAACUGCAAUGCCUUCAUCAAGGACUCAGCAUGCCUCAUUCACCACAAGAAAGAAGAUCAUCUAUAUGAUGUCCUUUUAUGCUAAGCUAGUACAUGCUUUUGUAAUAAUUGCCUGCAUCUGUGACCUACAAUGCAGCAAACACACAAUCAAAAUUCAUUUCUAUAACUGAAAACUAAGUAAAAUAAUGUCUGAAGUUUUCUCUCAGACAUAAAAACUUAACGCACUGCACAUGCAUGUCUCUAAAGGUUUGGUUAUCACAGAGCAAAAGGUUAAAAUGUUAAUCUGAAAAGCUUCAAAUAUAAGUGAAGAACUUAGUUGUGCCUCUUCCUUUCUCAACUUUCACAACAAGCACCUAAGAACAUUAAAAGAUUCCAUGAAACCAAAAAAGAGUGGACCUCUAACCUUGAUGCAAAUAUUGGAUGCACAAAAGAACAUAGUAGCAUAAAUCAACAGUCAUGAAGCAUAAAUAUCCUUGAUGAAAAAAUUAGACCUCAGUGAGGUGUGUGUUCCCUCUCCAUCCCAAGCUAUAGAUUUGGCAAGAGAUUGCAUUACCUGUAAAGGAAAAUUAAAUCAAAACUUCACAAUUAAUGAAAGAAGAUAACAUUGAACAAUAAAUUACAAGCUGUAAGGGAAACGUGAGACAAGAUCUAAAGGAAACAAUUCAUGAUAAAAAGGAAAUUGCAACAUAGAAAUUGCAUUUUUAAACGGAUAUCCAACUAAAAAUCAUGCCCCAGUGCACCUUGUAAUGGAUAAAUCAUCAAAAACCACAUGCAUACUUUUGCAAAGCCAAAACAAAAGCAUAUGAACAAAACAAAAGCAUCGUUGUGUAGUUAUAGUUGAUAUCUACUCUUGCACCCUCCGCAAAUUUUUUGAUGUUUUUCAGCAUGAUCAAUUUUAGCAUUCAAAUCUUGAAUGCCUCUAACUACUGUAUGGUUUUUGUAUUAUAUUUCUCUGUGAUAUUGCCCUGCGUGCCACAAAGCCUCUCAAACCUGCAUCAAUGAUUAUUGGAUAAAUAUCAAAUUCAUGGCAUGACAACUCCAUACAAGCCAUAAAAUGAAUAACAAAAUAAUACCAAUUGGUUUUAUAGUAGCAUCUCAGCCACUACAAAGCAUCACAUCCUGCACAAAAUUUCCACAUUUAUUAAAUUUGUUAGUACCUUUGGAUAAAGUGAAAAUCUCAUUAAAACACACUUUCAGGCCAAAAAAUAAAAAGAAGAAAAAGCUAGGAGAAGAAAUCCAGGAUCCUAAGCGUAAGUAUCAAAGUCAAAUACUUAUAGCUUCACCUCUAUGAUAUGGUUUGCUGCAUUCAACAUACAAAAAGUUACUAGUAGCACAAGCUGUAGAGAUAGAAUAAUUAGGGCUCAUCCAUGCCUGCAAUCCAUAAAGAAUCAUUAAUCAAAUAUCAAUAGGAAAAAUAAAGAAGCUUAUGAGUAAAACCAAAUACCUAAUUAUGGUGUCUAUAGUAUGCUCUAAAAUCUAUUCAAACAAACCAGAUCCAUUGUAAGAAUGGAAAAACCCAUAUUUGUUGUUGCAAAAGGGUUAUUAAAAACCUGUUCAGCAGCAUCAUUAAAAACCUGUUCAGCAGCAUCAUUAUAUUUGGGUGAGACUUGGGUAGUGGUUAACAUGAACUGCUACCCCAUUGCCGCUGCCCAUCUCACUUUUUUCUCAAUUUGCAAAACUGCAACCACAUAAACAAAAAGGAAAAAAAAUUAAGAAAAAAAGAAGGAGCAGGAGUGUGGAGAAGCCCAUAAGGAAUGCCAGUUAGGUUUUAAACAGCAGAUGCAGAACAAUUAAAUCAAGUGAUUAAACAGUAGUAUUUUUCGAAUUGGGGGUUAGGGUUUGCACAAUCGUAACUUCCCUUUGUUGCUUCGCGACGUCCAUGCUCUGAUUCUUGUGCUCUUUUCGUUUCCACAUCCGCAAUUAGGGUUAUCCACCGUGAAUUGGAGACCAUGGCAGCUUCUCCCAAGUCGCCUUCGUCGAGGAACCUUUUCCAUCUGCCCCGGUAAUUAUCUUUUCCUCUUCGUCGAGGAAGAUUUCAGUUUCUUUUGAGAACCUUUGCAUUUUUCAGACUAUGGAGAAGCUGAUAACUGGCUCACGAAGACACGACAGGUAGUGAGAUUAACAGGAUCCCGUGAGUAGCCUCCGUGACUGGUGGUGGCGAUGCGGCGUAGAGGUUAAGUGGAUGGGAGGGUGCGCCACAAGGAUCCCGUGAUUCAGCGAGCAAAUGAGAGUGUGAAGAAGUUGAAAUUUGGGAAGAGGGCAGAUGAGAGCAUGAAGAUGAGCGCAGGGUGAAGAGAACGAGAGUUUGUGGGUUUUCAAGUCUUAACUCUAGUGAGUAGUGAGGUUUCAUGUCCGCUGAACUUAAACUUAUAGUGACAAAUGAAUUUAUUCGUCACUAUAUCAUGUUUUAACCCACGGGAAAGCUUUUGUCACCAAAAGAAUUAGCAACUUAAACGAGUAAUCGAGGGUAUAUGAUACCUAUACCCACGGUUUACAAUAUGUCUGUAGGUAUAUGAAGCUUAUACCCACAGUUUUAUAUUUUGUCGUUAAAACCUAUAGUGACAAAUUAAGAUUUUUGUUAGUAUAUACUGCAUAUACUGAUGGUUUAAGUUUCGUGACUAAAGGAUAUAGCUACGGUAAUAGUCAUCUGUAAGUAUAUCACACUUAUAGCCACAGUUAGUAAUUUUUCUGUUGGUAUAUAAUGGCUAUACCCACGCUUUUCAUACCUGUCACUAAAAAUAUCCGUUGGUAUAUGGCAAAUUUCUUGUAGUGAUAUAACCGAGUCUAUCAUAGCAAUGGAAUUUAGUUUAUACUCAGCACUCAACCAUAAGAGAAUAUGCGCAUGCGGUAAACCUCUCUUCUGAAAUUCAAUGGUGUACAUACCUACAUAUAAAUAAAGUAAUUAGAUCAUAUUAAGCAAAAACCAUUUGGUUACUGUGUUACAACUACAGCAAAUUGUAUUGCCAAAACUUUUAGCCAAAAAUACUUACCAGCCAUGGCCUUCCCAAAGAAUUCACCUUUCUUCAAAUCUGUCAUGAGUUGAUCUAGUUUCAUACGAAAGACUCGGCAUACAAUAUCUGGCCGAUCAUAUGCAGACAACAAAUAACCUACAACAUGCCGCUCAAUCUCAGGCCAUUUCGGAUUGCACGUCAUUGUAAGAAACAGGUCCGGAUAACCAUAAGUCCCACAAAUAGCCAUAGCAUCCUGACAAUUUUCAAACAUGUACCGUCUUCUGCCAGUAAAAGAUGAUGGGAGUAUAAUUCUAGAACCAAUUGUUGAAGAAUUAGUAUCACCACGGGUAAUAGCAUCCUCAAGCCCUGCAAGAAAAUCCUUGCGAAUGGAGUCCUGAUUGUACCUAAUAUAAAAUAGUCUAUUUGCUUCAAUCAUAGAGUAGCAAUCAACCACAAAUUGUUGCAACAAUCUUCGAGACAAUAAUAUCCUCUUGCACUCAAAUUGCCUUUCAUGAAGUCUAAACGCUACCCAUUCACAUAGAGACAUAUUCUCCCGCUUGUAAAUAGCAUUGUCAUAUUUAAUGCCACCAAAACCCAUUUUUUCUGAAAAGCCUUCUUCCCCAUAUGGAAACAGCAAUGGAUAUUGUAAGGGGAGAAAACAUGAAUGCGUCUCAUAAAUCCUUUCUAACUUACCACUUAUUGAUCGAAGUAUAAUAUCACGUCCACAAUCAGAACUAUCAAAGUCACCAACAAUUAAUGCUGCAACUUCAUGCCAUAUUCAUAUCACCUAGAUCAAUAUAGGCUGAAAAAAUGUACUCUGCAUUAAUCUUUUAUCAUAAGACAAGAAAAAUUUAAAAAUUACCGAAUGUAGUCGUCCUAACUCUUACAUUGAAACUCAGCCACAUCAAAGAGCAAAUUAUGGUUGUCAAAUUUUGGCUGCACUCCCUGCGUCAUUGGCCGCGAGCCAGACUCUUCAUUACACUCACUCAUUGAACAAAAAAAUUGAAAUUUAAAAAUAUUAGUUUUAUACGCAAAAUGAGUAAGAAAACCUAAAGUUAAACCAUCGAAAACUAAUAUAAAUAAAAAAAAUAUUAAAAAUAUCAUAAAAAAUACAACGUUAACUAACAAAAAUCCUACAAUGCUAUGCAUCCAUAAUCAAUAAAAGUAUAAACAUAAAAGAAUAUAUUAAUCAAUACCAUUGACAGAAAAAAAAACUCAAAUUAUUUACCACCAACUAAUCCAUUAGAAUAUUACUAAAUUAAUCCAUUAAAACUCAAAUUAUUUAUCACCAGAAAAGUUUCCAUAGUACUUCUUCCAUGCGCUUAUAUGUGAAAGCUAAAUAUAAAAUUAAAAACACUAACUCAUUGUGAUCCUCCUCUUUGCUCGUUGCAAAUUGGGCUUUCGUAUUGCACGUCCACGAUUUGACCUCUUCCCCAAAAUUUCUAUAACACAACAAUUUCAAAAAAAAAAUUAAACAUCACAGAAGACGAGUAUAGUUUAUCCAACUACGAAUAUUUACUUCUACCUAUUAAAAUAUUUAACUAAGGAAACUUACGCCAAAAAAAUACUAAUAAACUACAACUUAUUCUAAACCUAACAAAACACUAAAAUAACUAUAACACAUAUAUUAAAAUUAACAUCAUAUUCAAAUUUAAUAAGAUUUCAAUAAAAAAGUAUAAACAAAUUUGUGCUUAUGAUUUCACUUACUUGUACCACUAACUACAUGUGGCCCUACUGGGUUAGAAUCUGCUACACUACAAAUGUUUUCUCCUCCUGUCACAUUCGAUCCUGUUCAUAUAAUGCAAGGUUAAUAGCCUAAUAAAAAGUAAUUACGAAUAGUUAAAUACAAAAUACAAAAUUGAAGUAUAAGAUCAUACCACAACUACUGCGCCCUUGAACACAACUUGAGAAUUGACUUUCAUUCGUAAUAUCUACGACAUGGUUAAAUAUAAAUCACUUGAACAUUUAAUUAACAUUAAUUUCAAUAUGCAUAUAUAGCAAAAUAAUAUCUAAGAUGCACAAAUAUGUACACAUCAAAUAAAACACUGAGCAUGUAGAACACGAAAAACAAACUAUAUUACUAACCUCUAAAAGGAUAAGCCAUGGUGUUUAUAGAUACAAAAUGGUAGCUUAUAGAAUCAUUUUCCAACCAAUGUACACUCCUGAAGUACCUGCAACUAAGAAUCAUAGAUAAUAUUUAUUACCAGGAGUAACAAAUAAACUCAUGUCUUACUAACAACUUAGAUUAAAUUUUUUUCCUAAGUUCUCACUUCAUAAAUCGGUAACACCAAACCUGUAGCCACCCAUGAUCCUAGCUUAAAUAUUGAUUAUGAAUAUAAGGAACUAACGCGUCACCUGGGUAAAUGGCAAGGAUAUGUAAUUAGAACAUAUACUUUGAAGGACUCAUGAAGAUUGUAGCAUACAAAGAAGCAAGAAGAUUGUAGAAUGAAAAUGAGCUUGCUUCAAACCUUAUCAUAUAUAUAGAGGGUAUAUAAAUAUAAAUAUUAUUAGAUAAAUUAAUCCAAAACAAAAUUUCGGUUGAUUUUUUUAAUAUGAACACAUCAAUACAGCUAGCUUUAGAUUUGGCCUUUCUGAAUGGGACUUGUGAUGAUUAUAUGAAAUAGUUGACUACCAAACUAAGUCCAAGUGUCUGCACAGCCUGGGUAAACAACCUAAAAUUAUUACUUAAUUCCAUUAUAAUACUUACUAAUGUAUAAAAGUACAAAGUCAGUGCAAUAGUAGUUAGGGUCAUUAAAUGCAUAGCAAUGAAUACAUCUUGAAUGCAUAGCAUGGGAGGUGUGGAAUCAGACCCUCCAAUGGCUAGGUAAGCAUUUUGUUUUCCCUGCUAGCCCAAGGGAUCACUUUCUUCAAUUUGCUUGGGCUAAUUCUCCAAAACAUCGAGUUGGUUUGUCCACUAUAUGGCUGGCUGUUGUGUGGGUGCUUUGGCAUGGCAGGAAUGCGAAAGUCUUUAAUGAGGAGGAUUUAUCGUCUACUUCGCUCUUUGAACAAGCAAGGUUGAAGGCUUGGCUUUGGUUGAAGGCUAAGAACAAGAAUUUUACCCACGCUAUGUCUGAGUGGAUUUUGGAACCAUUGUGUUGCUUGGAUGAUAUAUAGCUUUGGGUGAGUUGGUUCGUGGAUUGAUACUGUACUUGCUAGUGGUGACCUUGGGCGAGCUUUACUUGUUGCUGUUUGUUGGUCACUUUUCUAUCUUCACGUGGUUGAUAGUAUACUGGAACAUUUCUCUAGUUGUGGCACCUGAUGGUUCUUGUUGCUGGCAUAUUAUGUUGGGUUUUUUGGGUCUAUUGUAUUAAGCUCCUUAGUGGGUACUCUUUGAUUCUAGACUUCUGUACUCUUUUUCCUUACUAGGUUUUCCCAAGGGGGUUUUCCCUAGUAAGGUUUUAAUGAGGCAUAUUUCUGGGAUCUUCCCUCUAAGAGCAUCUCCAAUGGAGUCCUUAUUUUGAGACCUUAAAAUAAGAUCCGGAUCUUAUUAGAUAUCACCAUUGGAGCUAUCCUACAUGGCAUGAGAUCUUAGCAAAAGCUAAGAUCCGUGCCUUAGCUCAGGUACUCUCAAAUGUGGGAUCUUAAAUAAAAUAAUAUUUUCUUUUCUCUCCUUUAAUACCAUAACCAAAGUAAAAAAUUAGGGAGGAAAAUAAAUAAUAUAAAUAUAUUGGGUAUUGUGGGUCCAGUCAAAAGUAAAAUAAGAUCUCAACCACUAGAGUGAAAUGUGCAUGAAGACCUUAUGAGUAUCUUAAAUCCUAUGUGGCAAUUUGGGUCCACAAAAACUGAGUUAAGUCCCAAAAUAAGUUCCUACAAUUGGAGAAGCUCUAAGGGGUGGGGGGUUGUUAUUGUUAGCUGAUGAUAGCGUAAGUUUGUAUGUUUUGUCACUUUCCUCUUUUUUCUCUUGUUUUUCUUCUUGUAUUGGGAUUGAAGUACCCCUUGUACUUCGUUUCAAUAUAUAUUCAAUGGCUUAUAAAAAAAAAAUAAUACAAUCAAAAACUCAAAGAUUGAUGUAACGGAUAAAGAAACGAAACAUAAUGACCACACAUAUUGUACUUACAGAAAAUUAAAAUGCAAGUUAUCUUGAUGUUACAAGUAAAGAAAAUUAGUUGCACUUUGCCAUACUUUUUUUAAAAAUCAACCAAAUUCACGGCCUUGGAAAAAUACGGCCAACACAAUUAUUUAACCUUUUUAUAACUAACUAAAUAAAUAAUCUGGAAAAGUUACUCAUACAAAUCCAAAUAUAUUUCCCCUUAUCAUUCUAAUUAUCCACCAAACUAUAACUACAUGAGCUAACUUCAGGUUUUCAUUACUCAAAUAUAACUAAAUUAUAUACAAAGUAAGAGCAUCUCUAAUGGUAGGAUCUUAUUUUAAAAUUUAACUCACUUUUUGUGGGUUCAGACUGCCACAUAGGAUUUAAGACACUCAUAAAGUCUUAAUGCACAUUUCACUCUAGUGGUUGAGAUCUUAUUUUACUUUCGACUGGACUCACGGUACCUAAUAUAUUUAUAUUAUUUAUUUCUCACACUACUUUUAACUUUGGUUCUGGUAUUGAAAGGAGGAAAAAAAAUAUUAUUUUAUUUAAGAUCCGGGUUUUGAGAGUACCUGAGUUAAGGCCCGGAUCUUAACUUUUGCUAAGAUCUCAUGCCAUGUAGCAGAGCUCCAAUGGUGAGAUCUAAUAAGAUCCGUAUCUUAUUUUAAAAUCCCAAAAUAAAGACUCAAUUGGAGAUGUUCUGACCAAACUAAUAUACUGAGCACAAUUAAUACAAUAAAUGUUACUUGUUGUCUUCACCUAUACAAGCUAGAUUUUUUUUAUACCUAUACUUUACGUUCCAAAAAAUGAUUGUAAUAUAACAUUCAUUUUUAACUUCCAAAGCUUGUAACAACACACUCCACAAGUAAAUGAUUAAACACAAACCUAAUUAUUGUCUUUUUAAGGCACAAAAUAAAAAAAAAUAAGUUCUUUAACUUCUAACAUUGCUAAUCAAACUACAAUUCAACGCCAUUAAUAAGAAUCCAAAUUAUAUCUGUUUAUAACAACAUCAUUUUUUGGAAACUUAAAUAGCCUUAACUCACUCUUGGUCUGCUCUAUAGUCUUCUUGUACAUUCCCUUGACUUUAUACCACUUAAGUGCAUUAAUACACGGUUUUCUUCUCUGCAUGUUAUGUUUGAUAUGUAGCAUGGAGCCAAAUAUUUUUAUUUCUUUUCUUCUAUUCCUCUUUUUCUUUGCUCAUUACUAUACAAUCUUGCAGUUUCAAAGAAAACUACGUUUCUCCAAGAAAUACAUUUACUUUGAGAAAGUAAAAAAAAAAGAAGUUAAAUUUAGAAGAAUCACACAGUAAGCCCGUCACAAAAAGAACUUACAUGAUAGUCAAGAUACUUAAACGGAAUAUCUGAACAACACAAUACUCAAAAUGUUACAAAUAAAUAUAGAAGUCUACUUUAAUUAAAAACUGCAAAAAAAUACACGUUGAGAAAUUCAGACUUAAAAGUGUACUCUUAUGUAAAACAAACACAUAUCUAAUUAGAAGCAUGAAAGAAUUGAAUGGUCAGGAAAACCAGCCCAACUCUAUAAAGGAAAGAUAAACGGCCAUAAUUAAAUGCCUUGAGAGUGGGACCACACAUGAAAGAAUUGAAUGGCCAGGAUGGCUAUUUCUCUUAUGAACAGUAUUCUCUCACACUCUCUAUUCAUGUAGAGUAGAUGUAACGGUUGAGAGUGUAAGAAUACAUUCGACCAUUAUAUAAUAGACACAGAAAGAGAAGUGAGGUAGAGAAGAAGAAAUAAGAGGGUUCACUUCUUGUUCUUGUUGUUUUUUCUGAGCAUUGUUGUAGAGAUUCCAGCACGUUUAGGUUUUGAGUGCACAUUACCUUGCGUGUAGUUGUGUUAAUCUUGGGGAGCAAACCUGACACUGGAUUGCACCGGAGGUCUGCCAGAAUUUUUGCUUUCAAGGCAGUGGUUCGUCCACGACACAACUUUUCUUCCCUAAUAUUUCCAACAAUUUGAAAGCAAAAAUAUAUUUUACUCUUGUUGGUACCGAUGGCGUGCUGCUCAACAAAAUUAGGAAGCGGGAAAGCAAAUGGUUUGAAAGAUAAGUAUAUCUUUGUUUCUUUCAUAAACUGAUUCAAAUGCUAAGAAUGAGAAGACCGAGAUGCGUUUAAAUUCUAUUCAUGAUCUUUGUUUUUUGUGUGACUGCUUAUUUUUGUGUGACUGCUUAGACUAGUGGAAAAAAAAAACCAAUAAAUAAAAAAUGAGAAUGGUGUGCAAAGAGAAUCCCUCUUGACAAGAGAGGAUGCCAAGAAUUUUGAACACAUUUUCGGUCAAAAUGUACAAGUAUGAGCAUGACUCAAUUUAUUUCUACACGUACUCUUGUGUUUUAUGCCUCCACCUGUCUCUGAAAAAAAACGACGGAGAUAUAAUUGUGAAAUUGGAUGAUUCAUAAUUCAUAUGCAUCAUAUAUUUAGAGUUUUUUCCUGAAAAAAAAGUCUUAAACACUCAUAAAGGACUGGUAGAAUGAAGGAAACCCGACAAUAUAAUAGAGUUCAACACUAUUGCUUGGAUUUGUGAUGAAUGUCAUUUUGUUUAAUUGUGGUAUACUUGAUAAUAUGUGGGUGAAAGGAAAGCUAUCCUAAAGGCUUGAUGUAUUUUUAAAGUUUCUGAUGAAAUUUGUGAAAACUAUCAAAGGAUUGUAGAAAUGAUUUUUUUUUAUGCUUGAAAAUUAUUGAACUGUGGGGGUAUUUGACUAAAGUAGGAAUACCAGAUUUUAAGAGAGAAUAUUGGUGCUAAGUCAUAUUACUUCGUUGGUUAUGCUCAUGAUAUUAUUGUCUAUAAAUUCUUGAUCUUGAAUGAUAAUAUAAUUAUUUGAUUGAGAUGUCUUGAGUUUUAUGAAUGAUACAUUUCGUGCUUGUGUUUGUGUUUGUGGUUCACUAGAAGCAAUUUGAGAUACUAACAACGAUGCUUGCAAUAGAGAGAAUAAUUACAUGUCAGACUUUUGUUGUUAAGAAAUUGAUUAAAAAUUGUUUGGUUUUCUUUGAGUAUGUCAGAAGUGAAAGAAGUCUCGUUGAUCUUCUUGCUAAAGGAUUGACCAAGAAAAUUGUUUUGGAUACGCUGAGGAGGAUGAACCUUAAGCCUUGACAAAGAGGAAAAUACGGUGGAUACCCAUUUGUUGGUCAAACUAAGCCGUAUGAUUACUCUUAUGCAGUACAUCUUCAUUUUAUGACGUGAGGUAAUGCUAUUUUUAGAGACACAUAGCUAAUUGUGGUAUUUCUUUUGAGAUGCAUCUAAUGUAUCUAUUAAAAGUGCUUUGAGAUGCACUUGUUGUAUUCGAAAUAAAGUGUUUUAGAGACGCACUUGAUAUAUUUAAAAGGAUACAUAACCAUUUGUGGUGGUGCUAUUGAGACGCACUUGAUGCAUCAUGACAAAGUGCUAUUGAGCGACGCACUUAAUAUAUUUUGAGAAAGUGCUAUUGAGACGCACUUGAUGUAUAAAGGCAAAGUGCUUUUAAGACGAACUUGAUGUAUCUGUGAUAUAGUGCUUUUG